rnacentral:rRNA from 1 species
AGUGAACGCUGGCGGUAGGCCUAACACAUGCAAGUCGAACGGCAGCACAGUAAGAGCUUGCCCUUACGGGUGGCGAGUGGCGGACGGGUGAGGAAUACAUCGGAAUCUACUUUUUCGUGGGGGAUAACGUAGGGAAACUUACGCUAAUACCGCAUACGACCUACGGGUGAAAGCAGGGGAUCUUCGGACCUUGCGCGAUUGAAUGAGCCGAUGUCGGAUUAGCUAGUUGGCGGGGUAAAGGCCCACCAAGGCGACGAUCCGUAGCUGGUCUGAGAGGAUGAUCAGCCACACUGGAACUGAGACACGGUCCAGACUCCUACGGGAGGCAGCAGUGGGGAAUAUUGGACAAUGGGCGAAAGCCUGAUCCAGCCAUACCGCGUGAGUGAAGAAGGCCUUCGGGUUGUAAAGCCCUUUUGUUGGGAAAGAAAAGCAGCAGGUUAAUACCCCGCUGUUCUGACGGUACCCAAAGAAUAAGCACCGGCUAACUUCGUG